GCCCAGCUGGCUCAGUUGGAAGAGCAAAUGACUCUUGAUCUCAGGGUUGUGAGUUUGAGCCCCAUGUUGGGUG
rnacentral:tRNA from 1 species